rnacentral:lncRNA from 1 species
GGGAGAAACCCCAGUGAGGAAGCGCCAAGUUUAUAAGUAGCUGGAGGGUCACUCGGCAUUGCUCAUUGACUGGGACAGACUCCUCUUUUAUCAGCAAAGCCAUCCAUGAGGUGAGGUUUGGCCAUCUGGACCUCUACUCUGGCCCUUUGGGCAUCUAACAACAGGUCUGAAAGGAGGUCAUUCAAUACCAGGUCGUCAUGGAAACUCUACCCUGCCCCCACUCCCCUGCCCCUGGAACAGAAUGGACCAGGAAGGGAAAGAGGAGCAUUUGUAAAGCGCCUGCUAUGAGCCAAGCACAACGAAUAGGAAAAAAUUCAUCUGAGCCUUCUUUUAAAAAUCACCAAAAGAAAAAGACACUGUGUUGUUGGUUCAAAAUAUCCUCCAUGGCAUAGUUUUGAACACCACCACUUCUUUCAAGAUUUCUGGAAGUGUUGCUGGCUUCUGUCACCAUUUCUGUGGAUUCCAGGAAGACUUCGCUGAAUAGCAGUAUACUUUUUA